rnacentral:sRNA from 1 species
GCUGGGCAUUGUGGUGUGUGCCUGUAAUCCCAGCAGCUUGGGAGGCUGAGGCAGGAGGAUUGCGAAUUUAAAGCCAGCCUCAG